rnacentral:misc_RNA from 1 species
GUAAUUAAUCGUUUAAUACAUAUAUACGGCCACCACUGACACAAAAAAUGAUCGUCAACAGGCAGAGCUACCGCCGCCGCCACCUCCACCAUCGUGUCCUCCACCUCCAAAAUGGUGUGCUGCGUGGUGGCCGCCGGCAGCUCCAUGAUAAUGAUGCAAUCCUCCACCGUGGGCAACUCCGCCGAAAUGAGGACGUCCUCCGCUGGAACUGCCACCCGCUCUGCCCCAGCAAAGUAAAGCCAACACCGUGAAAACUACACAAAUCGAAAGAAAAACUACUGGGAUUAUAAUAAACGC